rnacentral:rRNA from 1 species
AUGGACGUCAAGUACCUCAACGGUGGCUCCGUCAAGAAGGUGAAGCAGGCCGUGGCGCCGGGGGUGGAAGAGGUGACGUACAUGGAGUGUGGCAGAAACCACGGGCUGGCUAGCGGUGGGCACGUCGUGGACGGCUGCGGGGAGUGGAUGCCCUUGGGUGACCACAACCCCGCCGACGCGUCGUCGUACAAGUGUGCGGCCUGCGGCUGCGACCGCAACUUCCACCGCAAGAGUACGACUCGGGAAGGCACGGAGUAUGACGACAAGCUCUCCGUGUACCGACCACUGCAGCCUCCACCCGCGUAUCAUCCGGCGCGGGUGGCGCAGCAGCCGCCACCGUACAUCUCUUGUGCGCGACACAGUCGCCCACUAGGGGCACUGCAGAUCCAGAGGCUCACCGUCCAGCGCUCACCGGUGACGGCGCCACCGCCCCAUGGGGUUAUGUCAGAGAGGAAGCGGUCUCGCACAAUGUUCACUGCCGACCAGAAGCUGCGGAUGCAGGAGUUGUCGGAGCACCUGGGGUGGAGUCUGCAGAAGCGCGACAAGGACAUCAUCGAAGCAAGAGCGAGAACAUCUUCAGGAACUGGAUGA